rnacentral:rRNA from 1 species
GAUGAACGCUGGCGGCGUGCCUAAUACAUGCAAGUCGAGCGAACAGACGAGGAGCUUGCUCCUCUGACGUUAGCGGCGGACGGGUGAGUAACACGUGGAUAAUCCACCUAUAAGACUGGGAUAACUUCGGGAAACCGGAGCAAAUACCGGAUGAUAUAUUGAACCGUAUGGUUGAUUAGAGAAAUACGGCUUUGCUGUCACUUAUAGAUGGAUCCGCGCCGCAUUAGCUAGUUGGUAAGGUAACGGCCUACCAAGGCAACGAUGCGUAGCCGACCUGUGAGGGGGGUAGGCCGCCUGGGAACUGGACCGCCGUCCAGGCGCCUGCGGGAGGCCGCAGUCGGGAAUCGUCCGCAGAGGGCGGGAGCCUUGCGGAGCAGCGGCGCGUGAGUGAUGAAAGUCUUCGGAUCGUAAAACUCUGUUAUUAGGGAAAAACAAAUGUGUAAGUAACUAUGCACGUCGUGACGGUACCUAAUCAAAAAGCCACGGCUAACUACGUG